CAGCCAGAGAGGGUGGGCGGGGCCCCGCCUAACAGCGAGUACCGCCUUAGCAACGGCCCUGACAGACACUCGCUCCAGCCAAUCAGCGCGCAGCCCGGAUCCGCCGCGCGCUCCCGCCCCUCUCCUUUGAUUGACAAGCGGCUCCGCCUAUCAGAGGGCGGUGCCGCGUAGCCUCGGGCGGGGGUCCCGGUGCUUUCCCCCCCGCCUCCCCC